CCCAGGAGAAAAUGUUAGCUACAGGUGAUCCCAGAGAAACAAGUCCAGUGAGACAGCACUGCAGCAUGCACCAACACAAAACUCAUUAGCUCAAUGCUGCUGUUAUUCAUUUCGCGUCUGAUAAAGAAACCACUGGAUAGUUUAGCUUUAUACUUUGUUUAGGAUAAAAGUAACCUCAUUUCAAUGGCUUUUUAUAAUUGCAUGUGCUACAUUCACUUUAAAAUAUCAAAGUCUCCGGACUGCAGCUGAUUUGUAUCAAAACAGCCAACUGCAGGGAAGCCACACUGUAAUGCGAGGACUUGUCCUUCCUAUAAAAUCUCAUAUCUUGUAAAAUUAACACAAGCUUGACAGUGAGUUAACAGAGAAUAUAAACAUGCUUCCACCGAGCGCAUCGAAGCUCCCCCCAAGCGAAGAGCAGCGCAAGGCGGCCCUAGCAGCGUUGCAGAAGGAAGAGGGAUCGUCCCUGUCCUGAAGCGCAGCUCAUUCUGGCCCUAAGCGACGCGACGGAUUUCGCCUUCGCAGAAUCGCGACCCACCGAACAAAUUGCUCAGGAGAUGGCCUGAGACGCCCAGGUCUCUUUACAAACUCUUUACGCCUCUUUACAAACUGCAAAACAGCAACCCCGGAAAAAAAACCUCCCGCAAGAGGAGCCCUUUCCGACUUCCCUGAAGCGUGUAGGUGCUGCGCCAGCCCUUCGGACGGGUCUGCAGUAGGAGGCUCCGGCAGAGACACGUUUGACGCCGGGAAGCGCCUGUCCCCGUCCCCGGCCACCAGGCCAAGGGGCUCCCCCCCAGCCCCCACCGUAUGGAGAAGGCGCUCGAGCCUGGCUGUGGAUUCACUGCCCAACUCUUCACCUAAAACACCUGAUUAUUUGGGAAUGGUGGCCAAAGUCUUUUCAAAGUAUUAUUUCUGCUUUCCCUGACUGCACUUCACGGUGGACACACAUUGCUGCAGGGUUUUCAUUUUUUGGAAUUUUAGUUCAUGUCAAUUUUUGGCUAGUUGUGCUUGGCAAUUUCUCUUUAAAAUAAUCUUCCCUUCUUUCCCAACUCUCUCUUUAUGUACAGUCCUUGGAGGCAAUUCCUCAGAAUAGUUAAAAAAAGAAAGAGAGAGAGAGAGAGAGAGAGAGAGAAAAAGGAAUAAAGCCACCUAGUAAAGGAAUAAAGGAACA
rnacentral:lncRNA from 1 species